ACAUCAGAGGACCUUCACUUUGGAGAGAAACAAAAAAGCAACAAGCGCCGCUUCCUCCUCUUUUUCAACUCUUCUCUGAUCUUCAAUACAUAGAGAAAGGGGGAUCCCAUUUUUCCAAACGAGCCAGCCGUCCCACUUCUCUCUACUCUUCAUCACACAAGAAUAAAGAAGAAACUUUUCUCUUUGACAAAGAAAAACCAAAUCGCCUGCUCUUCUCUCAUCUUCAUACAUACACGCGUUCCAAAACAUGAAUUAGCAGAUGAAAACGGAUUUUCAAAAAAAAUCAAAAGGGGAAUCUUAAAUCUGAAAAUUUAAAAAAAAAAUGCAUAAGAAAUAGCUGAGAAGACUUCUGAAACGAAAACUUUUUUGGAAAUCCAAAGUGAAAUAAAUAUUUCAAAGGAAGAGGAAUGGGUUGAAUUGUGCUUGCUGCUGUUGCAAAGUUGCUGAGUUCCGAUUUCCUGACUUCCGGCAUUUGGUUUGGUUCGUCAAAGUUUAUUUGCAGCUGUUGAGGGGCGCUAUAUCUUUAACGGAUGCAGGUGGUUCCACAAUAGGGGGCAUUGAUCAGUGACAACAGUACACCCUCUCCUCAGCUGACUUGGUGAGCCCCACUUCAUCCGGUGUCUUGUAUCUCCCGUCCUCUAUGUUUAGUGUUUUGAGGUACAGCCGGAGCCUUGUUGCCGGCACCAUCAUGCUACUCUUUUAUAUCUAUUAGGCUCCGUAAUAGCGUGGGUGGAACCUAUGUUUUGGGAAUUCAAGUUAGAAAUGUUGUAUUUGUAUCAUAUGUUUCCCUACUAGACCAUGAAUAUGUAAUGUAAUAUUUUGGAAAAUCUUGAAUGAAGUUCUAACGGUAAUGAAAUUUGGAUUUUUCAUGUAA